rnacentral:rRNA from 1 species
UACGGAGGGCGCAAGCGUUAAUCGGAAUCACUGGGCGUAAAGCGCGCGUAGGCUGUUUGAUAAGUCAGACGUGAAAUCCCUCGGCUCAACCGGGGAACUGCGUUUGAUACUGUCGAACUCGAGUCCUGGAGAGGGUGGCGGAAUUCCUGGUGUAGGAGUGAAAUCCGUAGAUAUCAGGAGGAACACCGGUGGCGAAGGCGGCCACCUGGACAGGUACUGACGCUGAGGCGCGAAAGCGUGGGGAGCAAACAGG